AGCAGCAAUUCCGCUAGAAACAAAAUACUCGAACAACGUCGUGGUGGUCAUUGUGAUAGAAAGUUUUUAUUAUUCUUGCGUGACGAUCACAAGACCCGGAUUUGGAAGACAACAAUUUUUCGAUUAGCAGCCGCCUCAAAGCAGUGCAUCAUCUCCGCAGAUUGAGAAGCGGUUCCAUGUUAAAACCACCCAGCUGUUAUUGUCUCAAGACUCCGGGUCCGGGUCGACCGGAUGAAACAGGUUGCCAUGUACGAACUGAAUGCUGUUCUUAGGCAGCAGCACCGGUCACAUAUGCCCGGUUUCUGUUCAUUGGUAUCCGCGGAGACAGCGAGGAAGAAGCAUUUAACGAUGAGUAUUCACAUGUAAAAUUGAAGCAAUUUCUCCGGUACUGGAGUUCUGCCUCGCAACUGGUGUACCGGAGGCUAGAAUCUAAGCUCGUUUUAGAAAUUGGUGCAGUAUCGGAUUGCUUUUCAGCUGUCCUAAUUGAUCAUCUCCAACCAAGAUGACAGCUUCGGAAAGUGUUUCGCGUUGGCACUCCGGAUCACAAGGCUGUCGUCUCCGGAUUAACAAGAAGUCGAUGAAAAAAAUCGUGUUUGUAGGCUACAAGGAUUGUCAGCAGAAAGCGCUUAGGAUUGUGUUUCCAAAUUUCAAAAUUUAUUAAAAGAAUAUUGCUGAUUCAUUUACAUACAUAGGAAAAAA